UUCAGUCAUAGAAUUCUAGGAAGGAAAUUCUGCUGCAACAUGGACAAAAUGAAGUGAAUGAAAGGAAGGAAAAAUGCUACAACAUGGCUGGACCUUGAUGACAUUAUGCUAAAUGAAAGAAUCCCCUCAUAAAAAGACAACUAUUGUGAUUCCAUACAUAUUAGACACCUACAGGCAUCAGCUUCAUCGAGACAGGAGGCAGAAUGGUGGUUACCAGGCCCCCAAGGUGGCAGUGAAGGGCAGUUAUUGUUUGAUGUGUUUUGCUUCAGUCUGGGAAGACAAGAACAUUCUGGAGAUGGGUGGUGAUGGUGGAACAGCAAUGUUGAGUGUACUUAAUGCCACUGACUGACCUUACACUAAAAGAUGGUCACUAUGGUAAAUUUACGUAAACUGUAUUUUUCCACAGUAAGAGAAAAUAGAUCUUUCACCCAGAGAGCAAGCCCUUUAUGUAAAUGAAUCAGGACAUCAGGCCUCUAAGGAGAUUUCUUUCUUUGAGACAGGGUCUCACUACAUAGUUCAGGCUGGUCUUAAACUCAUUAUGUAGCCCAGGCUGAGACAGGAGGACUGCCGUGCUACACUGUACCAGCCUGGGCUACGUUGUGAGGCCCUAUCGCAAAAAAGAAAAAAAAAUAGAAAGGAGGAAGUUAAAAAAAUAUUAAAAGCAAAGGACUUCCUUUAAAUUCCUCUAAAAGAAUCUUCCGGUGGCUCCACAUUGCUCUCUUUGGAGCUCCACAGGGGACCCAUGAGACCCCAGCCCACCUCUCCCAGCCACCUCUUGAUCUCUUGUCCUUUCCCUCCUUGUACAAUAUGUCCAGCCACACUGAAAUCCAUAUGUACCCUCUGCACCCAGCAGGAUUGAGGAUUGAAUCCAGAGAGUGCUGAGCUAUAUUUCCAGCCCCAUAAAAAUUUAUUUUGAGACAUGUUCUUGCAAAGCUGCAAUCCUCCUGCCUCAGCCUCUUGAGUGGCUGGGAUUACAGGCAUGAGCCUGGGGAAUUCUGUUCUGUCUGCCUUUCCAGUUGCUCCCCCCUUGACCUGGAACCUUGUGCCCUUCGUGUAUUGCUGGUAGACAGUGUCUCUGAUGGGAAGACUUCUCGAACCCUGCCCUGCCCAGGUGUCCUGUGUCUUCAGCUCCACAGGUAGUCACCUCUGAGGCAGUCUUUCAGCUGUAUUCCUUUGUUUCUGGCACCCACUGGACUAUGGACUUCUUGAGGGAUGGAAAGAUGUUUUUGUCCUACUACGGAGUCCAGACCAUUUGAGCUGCUCAAACAAUAUUGAAAGAACGACCCCAGGUGUGGUGGCACAUGCCUGUAAUCCCAG
rnacentral:lncRNA from 1 species